GUGGGGCAGUAUUACACAUUAUACUUGAUGGAUAUGUGAGAGUAUGGGGCAGUAUUACACAUUAUACUUGAUGGAUAUGUAAGAGCAUGGGGCAGUAUUACACAUUAUACUUGAUAGAUAUGUGAGAGUGUGGGGCAGUAUUACACAUUAUACUUGAUGGAUAUGUAAGAGCAUGGGGCAGUAUUACACGUUAUACUUGAUGGAUAGGUAAGAGCGUGGGGCAGUAUUACACAUUAUACUUGAUAGAUAUGUGAGAGUGUGGGGCAGUAUUACACAUUAUACUUGAUGGAUAUGUAAGAGCAUGGGGCAGACUAAGAAAUGUUGUGUCACUUCUGUUACACCGCUGAG